CUCUUUUACCUUUGCAUUUCUGUGUCCAUUGAAUUGGAAAUAAUAUAUAUGCAAAAACUUUAUCAGAUAUAAAGUGGAGCACUAUAGCAAAAGCAGUAAUGCUCCACUUGUGAAAGUAAAUCUGUUGGGGUUUCUUUGGAACAAAGGCUAUGUGGCCGUUCAUACUAUUAAAUGGAACCGCUGCGGUCUGAACGGUUCUUGGAUGUGCAGAUAACAGAAGGAGAAGUCACAGAGCAGUGCACUGUUUAUGGAAGUAAUGGUGAAUGUAACUGUUUCUAGAAGGGUUCAAUAUAGUUUUAUUAAAAAAAACAAAAAAAAAA